AAUGAACGUUGGCGGCGUGGAUUAGGCAUGCAAGUCGAGCGCUCAUAGCAAUAUGGGAGCGGCGAACGGCGUAGUAAUACGUAGGAACGUACCCUCAGGUCGAGGAUAGCUAUGGGAAACUGUAGGUAAUACUCGAUAACCUCUGCGGAGCAAAGGUGUGAUUCCGCCCGAGGAGCGGCUUACGCGAUAUUAGCUAGUUGGUAGGGUAAUGGCCUACCAAGGCGAUGAUGUCUAGGGGGUGUGAGAGCAUGGCCCCCACGACCGGAACUGAGAUACUGUCCGGACACCUACGGGUGGCUGCAGUCGAGAAUCUUCCGCAAUGGACGAAAGUCUGACGGAGCGACGCCGCGUGCGGGAUGAAGGCCCUUGGGUUGUAAACCGCUGUCAGAGGGGAUGAAAUCUUCGGAGGUACUCCUCCGAAGUUGACAGAGCCUCAAAGGAAGCACGGGCUAAGUACGUG
rnacentral:rRNA from 1 species